UACAGAGGGUGCAAGCGUUAAUCGGAAUUACUGGGCGUAAAGCGUGCGUAGGUGGUUCUUUAAGUCAGGUGUGAAAUCCCCGGGCUCAACCUGGGAACUGCAUUUGAUACUGAAGAGCUAGAGUGUGGUAGAGGAUAGUGGAAUUCCCGGUGUAGCGGUGAAAUGCGCAGAUAUCAGGAAGAACACCCGUGGCGAAGGCGGCUCUCUGGGACGGUACUGACGCUGAGACGCGAAAGCGUGGGGAGCGAACAGG
rnacentral:rRNA from 1 species